GCGGAAGUAGUUCAUGUGGUAGAACACUACUUUGCCAAAGUGGGGGGUGCGGUUUCGAGUCCAGUUUUCGCU
rnacentral:tRNA from 1 species